rnacentral:rRNA from 1 species
CAGUCGCCGCGGUAAUACGUAGGUGGCAAGCGUUGUCCGGAUUUAUUGGGCGUAAAGCGAGCGCAGGCGGUUCCUUAAGUCUGAUGUGAAAGCCCACGGCUCAACCGUGGAAGGUCAUUGGAAACUGGGGAACUUGAGUGCAGAAGAGGAGAGUGGAAUUCCAUGUGCAGCGGUGAAAUGCGUAGAUAUAUGGAGGAACACCAGUGGCGAAGGCGACUCUCUGGUCUGUAACUGACGCUGAGGCUCGAAAGCGUGGGGAGCAAACAGGAUUAGAUACCCCGGUAGUCCCUGUCUCUUAUAA